rnacentral:rRNA from 1 species
CACGUAGGCACCAAGCGUUGUCCGGAUUUAUUGGGCGUAAAGAGCUCGUAGGCGGUUCGGUAAGUCGGGUGUGAAAACUUUGGGCUCAACCCAAAGCGUGCACUCGAUACUGCCGUGACUUGAGUUCGGUAGGGGAGUGGGGAAUUCCUAGUGUAGCGGUGAAAUGCGCAGAUAUUAGGAGGAACACCGGUGGCGAAGGCGCCACUCUGGGCCGAAACUGACGCUGAGGAGCGAAAGCGUGGGUAGCAAACAGG